rnacentral:rRNA from 1 species
GACGAACGCUGGCGGCGUGCCUAAUACAUGCAAGUAGAACGCUGAAGGAGGAGCUUGCUUCUCUGGAUGAGUUGCGAACGGGUGAGUAACGCGUAGGUAACCUGCCUGGUAGCGGGGGAUAACUAUUGGAAACGAUAGCUAAUACCGCAUAAGAGUAGAUGUUGCAUGACAUUUGCUUAAAAGGUGCAAUUGCAUCACUACCAGAUGGACCUGCGUUGUAUUAACUAGUUGGUGGGGUAACGGCUCACCAAGGCGACGAUACAUAGCCGACCUGAGAGGGUGAUCGGCCACACUAGGACUGAGACACGGCCCAGACUCCUACGGGAGGCAGCAGUAGGGAAUCUUCGGCAAUGGACGGAAGUCUGACCGAGCAACGCCGCGUGAGUGAAGAAGGUUUUCGGAUCGUAAAGCUCUGUUGUAAGAGAAGAACGAGUGUGAGAGUGGAAAGUUCACACUGUGACGGUAUCUUACCAGAAAGGGACGGCUAACUACGUGCCAGCAGCCGCGGUAAUACGUAGGUCCCGAGCGUUGUCCGGAUUUAUUGGGCGUAAAGCGAGCGCAGGCGGUUAGAUAAGUCUGAAGUUAAAGGCUGUGGCUUAACCAUAGUACGCUUUGGAAACUGUUUAACUUGAGUGCAAGAGGGGAGAGUGGAAUUCCAUGUGUAGCGGUGAAAUGCGUAGAUAUAUGGAGGAACACCGGUGGCGAAAGCGGCUCUCUGGCUUGUAACUGACGCUGAGGCUCGAAAGCGUGGGGAGCAAACAGG